rnacentral:lncRNA from 1 species
GCAUAAUGUAUAGUAGUAGUACCACACAGGGCAGCAUCUCACUGAACCCAUGCACCAAGAUAUGCUUGUUUAUCAUGGUAAAAUGCAACUAACCGCAGGGCAGGGCAGGGCAGCACAGGACGGGACGGGACAGGGCAGAGGCAGGCUUCAAUGCCCCAUGAAACCAACUUACCUAAUCAAUCUCAUGUGACACUAACAGCAGUAAUUUUAUACUACUAUUAUAUGUACUCCUACAAGAAGACAGGGGAUGAGACAAAACGGGAUUAAUACCUGUGGAUGGACAGGGAGGCGCCAUCUUUCUUCCCCUCCCCACACCUGUAGCAUUCCCAACAUCAGUAGUACUACUACCACGGGUUACUCUUUUCUUUUUCUUCCAUAACACAGGUACUCAGUGGUACAGGUUAAUCUUUAUUGUGAGGGAGACAUGCCAAAGCCAUACCUUGGCCGGUUGCUGAAUCCUCAACAACAGUGUAGGUUUUGGCUGAUGAUUCCUG